rnacentral:rRNA from 1 species
UACAGAGGGUGCAAACGUUGUUCGGAAUUACUGGGCGUAAAGCGCACGUAGGCGGACCAGAAAGUUGGAGGUGAAAUCCCAGGGCUCAACCUUGGAACUGCCUUCAAAACUCCUGGUCUUGAGUUCGAGAGAGGUGAGUGGAAUUCCGAGUGUAGAGGUGAAAUUCGUAGAUAUUCGGAGGAACACCAGUGGCGAAGGCGGUUCACUGGCUCGAUACUGACGCUGAGGUGCGAAAGCGUGGGGAGCAAACAGG